AGUGACACAUGUCCCUUUUUACAAUACGGUUCGUUUCAUUUAAAGUCGUGCUUAAUAUUUGUGGGCUUCAUGGUUGGGCCUUCUGUUUACUCAGCAGUUCAAGCCCCAAAGCGACUAUCGUGUCUUCCUCGGCUUCACGACGUUUUGGGUUCAUCCGCCUCUUCUCUGCCAUUAGAGAGAUUUUGAUGGUGGAGAAAGCGUGAAUACUCUUCUUUGGGUUUUGGUCUUGACGUUUGAUCUUUGUAUUCAUCAAUUGAAACGUUCCCAUUACAGAUUCAUUCCGUUUAGCCUCUUAUUAAAUUCACCAACCACGAUCUAAACCUUCAAUACGAGUUUCUUUUGUAGGAGGCUGUGUAUCUGCGAGUAUUAAUAGUCCAGUUUAUGUUCUUCAACUGUUGAGGUUAGAUUGAUGCUGGGAGGCGACGAAUGUCAGGCGCGGUGGGAACUCAUGGGAAGUUGAUAUGCCGUUACUGGAUUCAAAGUUGGCACAAACCACAUGGUGGUGGAAAAUCUUUGCUGCCGCCGUUCAUUGUGAAGUGGGCUUCGUCGAGAGGCUAUGGCGAAAGACUCUUUGUGAGGAGAUGAGGAUGAGAGUUCUUACUUCUCUUUGAAGAGAUUGAUCGACGGUUCAAGACAACUACUCCAUUAGCGCCGGUAAACCUGUGGGGAGAGCUUUCGUGGUGUUUGGUUUACUCACCUGCGGCGUGAGGUUCAAUGGAAACACCGACUCACUUCAUAUUCAUCUCUUUGGGACUGACAUCGCCGCCGUGGUACAUGCCUUUUUAUUGUCGGUAUGGACAUACAGAGCUUCCAUUUACGUUCAUGGAAAACUUGAUAUCUGUUCUCAUCCGUAGACCGUAGUUCUUUAGUUUAUGGUGAUUCACAUAAGGGGGAUAAUACAAGCUCUUCUUCUGAAACACAUGUAGAAAAUGAUACUCUUCAAACUGCUGCUUUUAAUAGAUGGCGGGGAAAAUAGCAAAAAAAGGCUGAUGAGAAAAGCUACUCUUCUGUCGUUGUGGCACUUACUUCAUGGACUUGCAAAUGAUACAUGUCUUUGCUUAGAUUUUGGCUUGCAAUGGGGAGCGAAGAGAAAAAUAAAAGUGGAUUGAUCUUACUGGCGAGAUUGAUGUAUGCAAUUCAAUCAAGACACCUGAAGGCUCAACAAUUCAAAAGCAUCCUACAAAACAGAGAUAUGGACAACCAUAAAAUAUCCUCCUUACUGUCUAUGUUUUGAGAUUCAGAAGGUGACAUGCUCUGUCUCCUCAAAAACAAACAUCUGAAUAGUGGUUGCCUCUAGCUCUAGCCUCAGGAGAGUGGGAAGCCAUUUUGAGAAAUCCAGAAUCAAUCCUAUCACAGCUAUCAUCUUCUUCAAGAAUGGUUGGUUAGAUCCAGAGUGAUGACCCAAACAAUGAUUGGAUUAAGGGUUUCUUUGCGACUCUCUUUACGCGAGAGCGGAUAAAGGUCAAAACACAAUGUCUAUUGUCGUGAGUGUUUGUUGUUCAGGUCAAAAUACGAUCAAUUAGGUGUUUUCAUAUUUUAAUAAUUUUACAAAAAAUUGUAAAUAAAUAUAUUAUCAAUUCAUUAACCAUAAGAAUAAAUUAUUUUCAUGUU